GCUGGGCAUGGUAGCGCAUGCCUGUAGUCCCAGCUACUCAGGAGGCUGAGGCAGAAGAAUCGCUUGAACCCGGGAAGCAGAGGUUUCAGUGAGCCGAGAUUGUGCCACUGUACUCCAGCCUGGGUGACAGAGUGAGACUCCGUCUCAA
ensembl:misc_RNA Metazoa_SRP Metazoan signal recognition particle RNA